CAUUCCAAGGAAGAACCUUCAGGGAAGGUCCAGCAAAUCCCGGGAGCUGAGGGCUCCAGAAGCUCCAGGUGAAGUUCUGGUUGAAAUUCCCAGCCUUGGAAGGAGCCACAGGAGCUGGGAGAGCUCUCAGAGCCCUCAUUCCUGAGGGAUCCGACCCCAGACAGCCACUGAUGGAUCCACAGGAAUCGUUCCCACGCUGCCAUCCCAGGAAAACGCUCUGAGAGAUUCUGGAGGAGCCUGGAUAUUCCUGGAGGAGAAUUUCCCAGGGAAGAGAAGGAACAAAACCACUGGAAAGGACAGGAGGGAGCUCCAGCAGAGCUUUGGGGGGAAAAAAAAACAUUGGAAAAUGA